AGUGAACGCUGGCGGUAGGCCUAACACAUGCAAGUCGAACGGCAGCACAGUAAGAGCUUGCUCUUACGGGUGGCGAGUGGCGGACGGGUGAGGAAUACAUCGGAAUCUACUUUUUCGUGGGGGAUAACGUAGGGAAACUUACGCUAAUACCGCAUACGACCUACGAGUGAAAGCAGGGGAUCUUCGUACCUUGCGCGAUUGAAUGAGCCGAUGUCGGAUUAGCUAGUUGGCGGGGUAAAGGCCCACCAAGGCGACGAUCCGUAGCUGGUCUGAGAGGAUGAUCAGCCACACUGGAACUGAGACACGGUCCAGACUCCUACGGGAGGCAGCAGUGGGGAAUAUUGGACAAUGGGCGAAAGCCUGAUCCAGCAAUACCGCGUGGGUGAAGAAGGCCUUCGGGUUGUAAAGCCCUUUUGUUGGGAAAGAAAAGCAGCAGGUUAAUACCCCGAUGUUCUGACGGUACCCAACGAAUAAGCAACGGCUAACUUCGUG
rnacentral:rRNA from 1 species